rnacentral:tRNA from 1 species
GCCGCCCUAGCUCAGUUGGUAGAGCAAUUCACUCGUAAUGAAUAGGUCGUCAGUUCGAUUCUGAUGGGCGGCUCCA